GCUUGCUACCUGACCUAGCGGCGGACGGGUGAGUAAUGCUUAGGAAUCUGCCUAUUAGUGGGGGACAACAUUCCGAAAGGAAUGCUAAUACCGCAUACGCCCUACGGGGGAAAGCAGGGGAUCUUCGGACCUUGCGCUAAUAGAUGAGCCUAAGUCAGAUUAGCUAGUUGGUGGGGUAAAGGCCUACCAAGGCGACGAUCUGUAGCGGGUCUGAGAGGAUGAUCCGCCACACUGGGACUGAGACACGGCCCAGACUCCUACGGGAGGCAGCAGUGGGGAAUAUUGGACAAUGGGCGAAAGCCUGAUCCAGCCAUGCCGCGUGUGUGAAGAAGGCCUUUUGGUUGUAAAGCACUUUAAGCGAGGAGGAGGCUACUUGGAUUAAUACUCUAGGAUAGUGGACGUUACUCGCAGAAUAAGCACCGGCUAACUCUGUGCCAGCAGCCGCGGUAAUACAGAGGGUGCGAGCGUUAAUCGGAUUUACUGGGCGUAAAGCGUGCGUAGGCGGCUUUUUAAGUCGGAUGUGAAAUCCCUGAGCUUAACUUAGGAAUUGCAUUCGAUACUGGGAAGCUAGAGUAUGGGAGAGGAUGGUAGAAUUCCAGGUGUAGCGGUGAAAUGCGUAGAGAUCUGGAGGAAUACCGAUGGCGAAGGCAGCCAUCUGGCCUAAUACUGACGCUGAGGUACGAAAGCAUGGGGAGCAAACAGGAUUAGAUACCCUGGUAGUCCAUGCCGUAAACGAUGUCUACUAGCCGUUGGGGCCUUUGAGGCUUUAGUGGCGCAGCUAACGCGAUAAGUAGACCGCCUGGGGAGUACGGUCGCAAGACUAAAACUCAAAUGAAUUGACGGGGGCCCGCACAAGCGGUGGAGCAUGUGGUUUAAUUCGAUGCAACGCGAAGAACCUUACCUGGUCUUGACAUAGUAAGAACUUUCCAGAGAUGGAUUGGUGCCUUCGGGAACUUACAUACAGGUGCUGCAUGGCUGUCGUCAGCUCGUGUCGUGAGAUGUUGGGUUAAGUCCCGCAACGAGCGCAACCCUUUUCCUUAUUUGCCAGCGAGUAAUGUCGGGAACUUUAAGGAUACUGCCAGUGACAAACUGGAGGAAGGCGGGGACGACGUCAAGUCAUCAUGGCCCUUACGACCAGGGCUACACACGUGCUACAAUGGUCGGUACAAAGGGUUGCUACCUAGCGAUAGGAUGCUAAUCUCAAAAAGCCGAUCGUAGUCCGGAUUGGAGUCUGCAACUCGACUCCAUGAAGUCG
rnacentral:rRNA from 1 species